UACGGGGGGGGGUAAGCGUUGUUCGGAAUUACUGGGCGUAAAGGGCUCGUAGGCGGCCAACUAAGUCAGACGUGAAAUCCCUCAGCUUAACUGGGGAACUGCGUCUGAUACUGGAUGGCUUGAGUUCGGGAGAGGGAUGCGGAAUUCCAGGUGUAGCGGUGAAAUGCGUAGAUAUCUGGAGGAACACCGGUGGCGAAGGCGGCAUCCUGGACCGACACUGACACUGAGGAGCGAAAGCCAGGGGAGCAAACGGG
rnacentral:rRNA from 1 species